UACGGAGGGUGCAAGCGUUAUCCGGAUUCACUGGGUUUAAAGGGUGCGUAGGCGGGGAAGUAAGUCCGUGGUGAAAUCUCUGAGCUUAACUCAGAAACUGCCGUGGAUACUAUUUGCCUUGAAUAUUGUGGAGGUGAGCGGAAUAUGUCAUGUAGCGGUGAAAUGCUUAGAUAUGACAUAGAACACCAAUUGCGAAGGCAGCUCACUACACAAUCAUUGACGCUGAGGCACGAAAGCGUGGGGAUCAAACAGG
rnacentral:rRNA from 1 species